rnacentral:rRNA from 1 species
AUUGAACGCUGGCGGAAUGCUUUACACAUGCAAGUCGAACGGCAGCACGGACUUCGGUCUGGUGGCGAGUGGCGAACGGGUGAGUAAUGUAUCGGAACGUGCCCAGUCGUGGGGGAUAACGUAGUGAAAAUUACGCUAAUACCGCAUACGAUCUAUGGAUGAAAGCGGGGGAUCGCAAGACCCCGCGCGAUUGGAGCGGCCGACAUCAGAUUAGGUAGUUGGUGGGGUAAAGGCCCACCAAGCCAACGAUCUUCAGCUGGUCUGAGAGGCACGACCAGCCACACUGGAACUGAGACACGGUCCAGACUCCUACGGGAGGCAGCAGUGGGGAAUUUUGGACAAUGGGCGAAAGCCUGAUCCAGCCAUUCCGCGUGCAGGAUGAAGGCCCUCGGGUUGUAAACUGCUUUUGUACAGAACGAAAAGGUUUCUACUAAUACUAGGAGCUCAUGACGGUACUGUAAGAAUAAGCACCGGCUAACUACGUGCCAGCCGCCGCGGUAA